rnacentral:lncRNA from 1 species
UCGUACUGCAAGCUACAUAAAAAAGGAUGCAGAAGUGUAGUAUGAGUACAAAACACUGGCUACUCAUUAGGUAUCAUAGGCGGCCGAAGUUCAGAAAGAUCAAGUAUAUAUAUAAAUAACAUGAUGAAUUUUACAUGAGAUAUAUAAUAAUCAAAACUAACUAAACUAGUAAAAAGAAGUUCAACAACUAAACACUCACACCAAGUAGUAACACAGGUAGUCGAUUUUGGGGCUGGAACUUGAAGAAAACCUUAUGCGUGUUCUUGAGAGGAUGGUUGACUUUUCCUCUUCUUAUUCCUCUAGUUUUAAAUGAUUUUUGGAGGAUAAUAUUUUGGUAGGUUCUGACUAGAUUAUUAGGCUUAAACUUAGUAAACCGACGUAGUUUAGGUAUUAAAUGACGUAGUUUAAAUGCCCAAUGCAUAGGGGAAAAUACCAAAAUGACCCUGACUUAAAAGCUGACGAGGGACGACCACGGCUACACUAACAGACCGUAGAAGGGACAACAACACGUCAAGUGGGUCGUGGUUGUUGGCCAGUGUCUACUAGUUCUGGGAAGCCCCUCUACGGUCUACUUCAGGGAUUGUGUGAAGGACCACGGACCGUGAAGGUCACCGUAGUUCUUCACUUGGGAUGGGGUCUGCUGGCUAACGGACAACGAACCCAUCCACGGCCCAUCAUCAAGACCACAGCCUGUUGUGGGCUCCGUGGUCUGCUGCAUGACCCCUGGUGGCUCUGUCUCACUUUCAUGAGCCUUCCCAUGUCUCGUGUGGGGAUCCACAGCCCGUGAAGGGUCCCGUGUUCCACCACUUCUGAGUGGGUGUGAACUACGAGCAGGUCGACAGACUGUGGUUCCUCUCAUGGUCCGUGAACCCUUUUGUGGUUGACCAAUUUUUUUGCAGUCCAGGUCUGUUAGGUCUGAGGUUUUACACUUAUAUUCUAUCCCCCCCUUGACCCAGUCCCCGAUUUAUCGAAUUAGAAAUCUUGACCGAUCUGCGGAUUUCACAACUUUGAAGGUUGAGGCUAAUUCUCUAAGAUGCUUGAUAGGGAUAUUGAUAAAAUUGUAGCUCCCUUGAGAAUUAGGUUGACUUAGUGUGAGGCUUCGAUUGAGUCCCAUGGUGUGAGGUUUGAUAACCUCACCCCUAGUUUAAAAGUUCAGGAAAAGGCUAAGGGUAGUGCGAUUGUGCUAUCUUUUAUUAGGGGUGACAUUGACAUCUUGAGGGAUGAUGUAGUCCAGUUGUGGUAAGAAGACAUAUCUAUUCUUUAAGGCAAGGUUCCCGACUUGAUGCUCCCGUGUCUGUGCCCCUGACUGUGCAUAGUAGUGAGCCUUCUCAAAGUGUGCAACCAAGUGGGGAUGACGUUGUGAGAAUUGAUACUGCACCUAUUGAUGAUGUUGAUGCUGAGAGAGAGGAUGAUAGGGUCAAUGAUGAUUUGAUCUAGAAGAGUGAUGAGGAUUUUUGGAGGAGAGAGGAGGGUGAGCAAAGGAUAGUUGUGACAUUGACAGAGUUGCAGGAUAUAGAAGAGUUGAUGGUGCACGCGACGUUUGAGAGGUCUGUUGAGGAUACCUCCACAGUGGGACCAGUGGAGUCUCUUCAGACUCCACUAUUCCUCAUAUUGUUGUGUCGGGCACUGAUGCCUUGGAUGAGCCUACACUCAUGGUUGAUGUGAUCAUAUUGUUGGGCAAUAAUGUCGUGGAUGAUAGCACUCCUCCCAAGACUCCUAAUAAGAGAACUCCAUAGGCAUAUCCUAUCAAGAGAACUGUUUACCUUUCCUCCCAUACUAUUUUAUUUUUGCAUUAAGGACACUUUAUUAUUUUUUGGUAGGGUGAGGGAACAUGUGCCAAUAUUCCACUUUUUAUUGUAUUUUGGUUUUUUAAUUUUUUUUGGAUGAUAUAGUAUUUUGUUUCGUUGUUAUCAGUGUUUCGAUUGGUUUAUUUCAUUUGGUCCCUUUCAUUUUCUCUCCUAUUUUCAAUUACCCCAUGAAGUUUGGACAUCGUAGAAGUCUUGAGUUUUCAUUGAUAAUAAUUUGAGGAUCAUUUGUGUUCAAUAAUUAUGUCUUGAAUAGUACUCAUGAUGAUCAUGGUGUAUAGUGUUUCAAUUGCAAGAAAGAAAUUGAUGUGUUUGCAUUUUUGACCUAUCUUUUUGAAUAUUGUGUUGACUAGCUGCAUUUUGAUGUGUGUCUUGCAAUGAAAAUCGCAGGUUAACUUUUGAUCUUUUCGGUCCAUGCUAAAUGAUUGUGUUCGAAUUUCCAUGUGUGGUGAGGUUUUACUUAGAAACAUGCUUGUGGAAUCCUAGAAUUUGCUUUGUUCUAAUUGUCUACCCUUGGUAAGUGUAAGGAAUGAACUUGGGCAGUAAUUUUGAGAGGGAACCCCAAUUUCCAUAUCCUUUUGUGACUACCUUGUGAGGGUGUACAUCCAUUUUGGCACCAUUUGAGCCUAAACCAUAUGUUGACUAUCAUAUGGAAACCUCUUGAGCCAAUUCACCCCUAACUUCUUACCCAAACUCCUUUUUGGAAGAAUUGAUAUGUUAAAAUUGAAACUUAGGACAAAAGCCUAAGUGGGGGGAUGUUGAAAGGAAGGAGGAAGAAAAACCAGGUGAAAGGCAAAGAAAUAUUAAAUGAGACUCAACUUAUAAGUGUGUUAAGAAAAUAAGGAACCCCUCCUUACAAUAAAAAAAAAAGAAAAAGAAGAAGCAAUGUUUGAAAAAUUGAAAUGAAAAGGAGGGUUGAUGGAAUAAAAAGGGGUUCCUAAUGUGAUUGACAAAUCGAUGUUUGAGUUCUCAAAUGGAAAAGAAUGAAAAGAACUUGAGAAGAGGUGAAGAUUAUUGCAAUAAUUCUUUGAAAAGGUGAAGUCACUAAGACAAAUUAAACAUUCCUUAACCCACACCCCUUGAUUACUUGUUACUUGUUUGAAUUUCUGAAUUUUUAGUUUAAUUGUGACUGUUGAUAACCAAACCCUUUUAGUAAAUUUUGUUGAAUCAUCCACCCACUUGUUCUCAUUACUACAAAUGAAUGUAUUUACAUUCCAAAUUUCUUGAUUGAAUUCUCCACGUUAUAUCUUUCUCUGUGUGAUUCGAUCCCGACUCUUAAAUGGGUAUUUUUAUUCACGACGGCCACUUGCUCUUUUAAUUGGCUUUAGAGACUAGUUUGAGCAUUAUCUAUAAUUCCAAUCAUUUCAAAACUGCAAAAAACUUAUGGGGGAGGGUAUUUAGUAGAGAGACAAAAGUGAUAUUAAUUACAAAUAAAGAGAAAGGGCUAAGCACUAGAAGUGCUAUUCAUCCCACCAGAAAGAACAAUACAGUGUCCUCAAUGCAAAAAGUGACAAAUAAGAGAAGUACGUUGAGUGACUCCCUGUUGUACGUAGUAUAGUUGUGGGACAAUUUUAGGCGAAGUGCAAUGCAACUCGCCGACCUAGUUGGCAAAUCGCAACGGAGCUCGCCUACCCGGUCAGCAAAUCGCCAAAAAGGUUCAACUUGCCGACUGAGCCUGAUUCAAUCAUGAAAUAUCUUCCUCAGUUUGGUGAACAUGAUGGUGAUCACGAAGAAAGAAUGACGAAUAACCGAAACAUGCAUUUUGAUCGGUACACUCUUCAUGAAUUUUGGUCCAAGAAAGCGAACUAAGUCAGGUCCAUCAAACAUGUUCAGUAAAGCGCCAAUUAUACCCUCACUUACCCAAAGUUGGUAGUAACUUUAAAAAUUCAGGCUUUUUUGAGGGUGAACCUAAAGGAGGGUCGUCCAUUAGGUUGGGAAAAUCACUGAACUAUUUCUUGACACACCUAAUAUUCCUCUCUUUCUUGCACAAGUGACACACACAUUAUUAAAAUCAAUUAAAACUUGGGUUACCUCUUAUGAAGAUCUUUAUUUAACGUCGUGGUACAAUGUGGAAAAGCUCUCAAGCAUCGUCCAAGAAUACCACUUCAAUAAAUCACACAACACAACCUUCCCCAAUAUAUAUUUUCAACCUUUGGCACAAGACCAUGCCUUAAAACUUUUGUAUAACCAUUGUGUAUGCUAAAUGUAUUGCAGAACAAAGAUUAGCAUUAUGGAAUGAUAUUUAUCAAUUGGCGAAAUACAUUAGUGGGCCUUGGUUAGUUGGGGGUGAUUUGAAUGUGGUGAUGAAUGAUGAAGAAAAGAUAGGGGGCAAUGAAAAUUUUGAAUGUUACAUUUCAAAUUGUGAGUUGACAGAAAUUCCCUUCAAAGGUAGCCCUUUCACAUGGUGGAAUGGUAGAGCUGGUAAUGAUUGUAUCUAUGAAAAGUUGGACAAAUUUCUAAUUAAUUAGGAGAUACAUAAUUUGUUCAACCACUCUGAAGUUGAACAUUUAUCAAGAACCAAGUCUGAUCAUGCUCAUUUGGUUCUUUCAUGUGAAGAGAGUAACUGCAACUAUAGGAAGCCAUUUAGGUUCCUAAAAUUUUGGACAAAUCAUGAAGAUUUCAAGGAGACUGUUAGGCAGAACUAGGUUCCUACGAAUCCUUUAAUAGCUUAUAAGUAGAAUAUCAGAAGAGUCAAAACUGCUUUGACUAAAUGGAGCAAGGAUACCUAUGGUGAUAUAUUCAAGCAAUUGAUUAUCAGAAAGGAGAUUGUAAGAAUUAAAGAGAAGUUAUUUGAACAAGAUCCAAAUUCCAUUAAUAGAGGUGUGUUACAAAAGGCUCAAGCUGAACUUAAAAGAUAUCUUCAUUUUGAGGAAAUAUUUUGGCAACAAAAAGCAGUUUAUGAAUGGUUUGAUAAUGGUGACAGAAAUACAAGAUUUGUUUUCAUAGCAUAGUAAAGGGCAGAAGGAAAAGAUUGCAUCUAAAGAGAAUCCAAAAUAGUCAGGGGAUCUUGAUAGAAGAUAAAAGAGAUGUAGCUACUGAAGCUAUUGAUUUCUAUCACAAGCAGUUUUCACAAGAGAGUGAUGCUACAAAAUUCUCUCUAUUGAGCCACAUUCCUAGUACUAUUAUUGAUGAUGAGAACAAUAUUAUGUGUAAAAUUCCAAAUUCAGAAAAGGUUAAAAGGGUUGUGUUUAGCUUAAAUGGAGAUAGUGCUAGUGGACCUAAUGGUUUGACAGGAAGAUUUUAUCAAUCUUGUUGGGAUAAUAUUUGAAAUGAUGUGCUAACAAUGGUUCAUGACUUUAUUCAAGGUAAAGUUGUUGCCUAAGUCCAUAACGCAUACUAAUUUGGUUCUUAUACCUAAUAAAGAAAAUAUACAAUCUUUCUCUGAUUUGAGACCUAUUAGUCUGAGUAACUUCAUCAACAAGAUUCUUUCUAGGAUUACUCAUGAUAUACUUGAGUCCAUGUUGCCUAAUUUGAUCUCAAAUAACCAAUCUGGAUUUGUGAAAGGUAGAAGUAUUAUUGAGAAUGUUUUACUGACUCAGGAGAUUGUAACUGAUAUUAAGAAGAGGGGUAAGCCGGCUAAUGUAGUCAUUAAGCUUGACAUGGCUAAAGGUUAUAACAGAGUAUCUUGGUUCUUUCUAAUGAAAGUUCUAAGAAAGAUGGGUUUUCUAAUGAUUUUGUUGAUUUGAUAUGGAGGUUGGUAGCUAACAAUUGGUACUUAGUUUUGAUUGAUGGCAAAUCACAUUUCUUCUUUCAUUCUACUAGGGGUGUAAAGCAAGGAGACCUCCUAUCUCCUGCUCUAUUUAUAUUAUCAGCAGAAGUUUUGUCGAGGGCUUUGAAUGCUUUAUUUUAUGAUGCCCAAUUUGUUGGAUAUGGUCUUCCGAAGUUUACAACUCAAUAAUAUUGCAUAUGAAGAUGACACUAUUAUUUUUUCCUCCGCUGACAAAUAUUUUCUAAAAAAGAUAGUAGCAACUUUGCAGGAGUAUGAAGCUCAAUCUGGCCAAAAAAUUAAUAAAGAUAAAAGCUCUUUUUUAUGCAUCUAAGUGCUCUAGCAGAUUUGAGAAGGGUGGUAGAGGAAUGCACAUGCAUUCCUAUGAGUCAAUUCCAUUUUAAAUACUUAGGUUUCCCCAUUACGCAUGCAAGGAAAAGAAAGGAUCAUUAUGCAUAUCUCAUUAGAAAGAUAAGGGACAAUCUACAAGCCUGCAAAGAUAACAUGCUAUCAUUUGGGGUAAGGAGGUGUUAAUUUCCAAUAUUUUAAAAGGCAUUCUUAUUCAUGUUUUAUAUGAUAUUGUUCCUCCUAAAUAUGUUUUGAAAGAACUCCAUAGAAUCAUUGCAAAAUUCUUUUGGAGUAACAACAUUACAGUAAGAGUAAACAUUGGGCAGCUUGGGAUAAGGUUUUCUUACCAAAGAUUGAAAGAGGUCUGGAUUUUAGAUCAGUGAUUUAAGUUUCUCAAGAUAUGUUUGCUAAACUUUGGUGGAAGUUUAGAACUCAAAGGUCUCCUUGGCCAAACUUCAUGUGGAAUAAGUAUUGCAAGAAACAAAUUCCUACUCUUGUUCAGUGGAAAGAUGAACACAUGUGUCGAAACAUAUGUUAGGGAAUAGAGAGAUUAUUGAAAAAAUAUUGUGGUGGGAACCAAAGGGAGGUACUUAUAGCAUUUGGUUUGAUAACUGGACCAUCUAGUUCAUCUAUAUCUCCAACAUUCUAAAUUUCAAGGGCACUACUCUCUAGCAGAUAUAGAUGUUUUCUUGAAAGAGGAUGGUUGAGACUUCAUUAUUAUGUAGGAUCACUUGCCCAGUAACAUUAUUGAGCAUGUUAGACUUAAUAUGGGUUAUAUUGCAUUCCUGAGAAGUAGAUAAACCUUGGCGGACUAAGUCUAGUACUGGGAAAUUCACUGUCAAAUCUGCUUGGGACAUCCUCAGAAAUAGAUCUAUCUCCAAUGAUGACUUUAAGAAGUUGUGGGUGGAGGGACUCCCUUUUAAAAAUUUCUUUUUUUGAUGGAGGGUAUGGACAAAAAUAGUUCUUGUGGCUGCUUUUCUAUCUUCCUGGGAUCCUAACUAUUCGAAUUUAUAUCAUUGUUCUAAAGUUUAUGUGAGUGAAACAGAUGAACUUUUAUUCUAAUCAAGAGAAUUGGCUGCUUCUAUUUUUUAUUACUAUGCUAGGGCUGCUGGAUUGCAAGGUCCUUUGGUACUGGUGAAAUAGACUAUGAAGAAAUGGUGGGAUUUCCAAAGUAAAAGUGCAGUGAUUAAGAUUGUGUAUCAAGCAAUGCCUAACAUUAUUCUUUGGUUUCUCUGGAAGAGCAGGAACACAAUUUUACAUGGAGGUUCAUAUUCUAGUAACAAGGUUAUUUGGGAUAUAAAUUCUAAUAUUCACAAGUUUAUUAGUUUAAAGUUCAACUUCUUAACCUUUCCUAAUACUUGGCCUCAAAUUAAAUGGUAUUUAAACUGGAAAAACACAGACCUGUUUUUCACAGCAAAGUUUUUAGGUGGGUUCAUUUGGAUCGAUGUCUAGUUAAGUUUGAAAAAAUUUUGAUUGGUUGAACUUUGAGGUGUUCAUUUGGUACUAAACCAGGACUUAAAAGCAUCAUUUAUAACUUUCAACUAAGUCGAACUUGGUUAAACUCAAUCACGUCUUUUCCAAGCACAACAUAUUUGAAAUAGUAGUCCAACUCAAUAUCUAGACUUUUUAUGGUGGUAUUUUGUCUUAUUGAGGGAUUCAUUCCAUUGAACGACAGAUAAUGAACUGGAUAACUAUUUAAAAUGGUGUUAGUAUACCUCAUAUCAGUACUUCAAUUGAAGUGGCUCGCUUCAACAUUAGAUUGCUAGAUUCUACUCCUCUCCAAUUUGUGAUCUUAUCCCCGACAGCUAACUGGACCUUCCGACCCAUAGAGGAUGAAAAUAAACACCCGUCACAAAAGAGAAGUGAAGUUGAAAGCAUCAUCGCUAAAUCUUUGAUGGAUAAAGUUUGAAUUGAGGUUUUACUCGAAGUGGUAGAGAAAUACCUGAUAGCAGGUCAAAUCCGCUCCAAUGCUUGAAAUCCAAAUCGUCCAAGAUAUGAUAACACCAGCGCAGAGGUUGGAAUUCGUGGAAAAAUGUCAUCACACAGAGGCGGACAGUGGUUAAUCUUUGUUCACUAAAGAGUAUUUGAAAACUCAGAUCCGUACCUUUGUUAUUUCUCUGUUCUUAGCUUUGAGGAAGAUUCACUUUCCACUUUCCC